ACGUCGUAGAUGACUAUGGGCUCCGAUA
rnacentral:sRNA from 1 species